UGGCUCUCAGAUCUCUCCAGCUGGUUCAGAAAGCCCUGAGAUGCCUCACAUGAGCUUAGGAGCUAGUACUCUCUGCCAGACUGCCCUCUCUUCCUCCCUCUGCCAUUCUCUCCUACAUCUCCCUGAUUCCAGAAGGAGGCAGGUCCAACUUCAUGCCCAGGCUGCUGUAUCCCUCUGCUCUGAUGAGCUCCACAUUCCCUGGAAGAAGACUUUUAAGAAGUGGCUUCUUAUUCCUCAUGCAAAGAGAACUGGGUCUUUCCUGAGUCUUGGCUACAUCUCCAUUCUUGGUUUCUGUGCAAGAUCUCUGAGUCCUUUUAAUAAAUCCACUCUGUGUGAAUACUAAAAGGAAAAUGGAAAGGAGGGCAAAUAGAAUUAGCUGAUUUUCUCAUGAGGAAUCACAGUACCAACAAGAGCUCAGAUUAACCAUAGCUGUGUGUGUGGCCAGGUGGGAGACAUGGUAACUGUAAGCAGUGAGAAUUAAUGAUUAAAUUAUGAACUUGGAGAGAAAAAUGAGAUUCUGAAGUUUGGGAUGGAGGAAAAUGGUAGAAAAGGAUCAGAGAGAGAGCCUGGGAAGAUGACAGUUUUUUUGAAGGCAGAAGUGGCAUCUCUUCUGAAAGAAAAGAUAGGAAUGAAUGAAGGUAAAGAGAGAUAUUUUAAUGUAAAUAUAAGGUGAGAUGAAGGAAUAUAAAAGUGAUGGCUCAAUAGUUUCA
rnacentral:lncRNA from 1 species